GCAGCCAGCGAGCAUGCUUCGUGAGGAAGAGGCGCGUCACUGGGAGGACUCCGCCACGCCGUCUUCCACUCUACCACGCCGCCGUCAACGGGCUCGAGGAGGAGGCGCGAUGCGGGGAGGGCUGCACAAGACCACCGUCGACUCCGCUUAGUCGUGAAGAGCAGCGGUCGUUCUUCGUGUGCGCCGAGGCGGGCGGCAAGAUCUACGUCGCCAACAGCCACUACAAGCUGAAGAACGCGCUCAAGACGGCGGAAGCGUCUGCCGCGGUGGCCUCCUCCCUCUUGCCCCUCUCGGAUCCACGAUGGGCAGGUCAAGUUCGUGUUUUGGUCCGUCACCUGUGUUCGUUUCAGUCGAGCGUCCACUUGUGCCUGCUCAGGCCAAGAAAGAAAAGAUGCAUUUCAUUGGUCGAGGAUGUGUCAUCUUAGAACCUAUCAAUGGAAAAUUCUGGAAAGUUUGCAUUGCAUAUAUCUGGGAAUACAUGGACAAGACACGACACAAUAUAUAUGAGCUGAACUUUAUUGUUGUAGACCAUGAGAUUCGGCUCGAGUCUGUUAGGUAUAUCACUGUGUUAUCUCGGCGUGGUAUACUCUUCCCGUUGAGAGAAGUAUUACAAAUAUUGGCAAGUCUGAGUAAAGAUCUAAUUCUCUUCAAGGAAGACCUCAAGAGCAGCCAGCGACACGGCAAAAUCUGUUUGAGAUAGGCUUCGUUGUUUUUCACCAAGAGCAUUCAAGGACAAGAUUGUAUCAUAGACUGGCAGAGAAGAAGUACAAAGAGUGAACAAGUUGAAACAACACUCAACAGCCAUUCGCUUCAGUUUAGGUAGCACUAUGGUUAGAUUGUAUGUACUGUGUAUUCUUGGUUUCAUCUUGCUCCACAGCCAGAUAUUUCUUUUUUCCGUACUUCCUAUUGUUGUAAUCAAUGUGCUAGGAACCAUUACAUUGUUAUUUGUAAAUUUGUAAAUUGUUGCAGUAUUCACUUGAAUUAUUUUGUUUCAGAUGUUAAAUUUAUUGCAAUAACUUUUAGAAAUUAUCUUCUCUUUUCUUGCUUCUCUUCUUUGAUCCUUGUGUCCAGGAAGACCAGGAACUGGUGCUACCUUAUGUGGGCAUACUGCAAGGCAUUAGUGGAUACUUCGCACACAGGAUAUGUUUUAAAAUUUUAUGAUCAUUGGGUCAUUGGGUAAGCAUUUCUGUUGUUAGCUUUCUGCUAAAGUUGCAAUUUCUACGAACUCAAUCAAAUUUGCACAGGUAGUCAUGAAUAAAUGGCAGUUACAUAGAGUGUAUGUAGAAAUGCACCACUGGUGCAAAAUAAAUACUCAUUGCCGGAACCAUCAGUACAUUCUAAAAAUCAAACAGAGUAGGUUCUAAAUGUGAUCAGGUCUUGUGCCAAUGCUUAUUUCUAUGUAUUAUACGAUGACCAUGGUCAUUGGCUUAUAAUUUACCGAAAAACUUUGCCUGUGCACUCAUUGCAUUUAGAACAGACAGAUUGAGGUUAUAAACUGGUCUAUAUAUCAUGAAACAACACCACAUUCUUUGUUCAUACUUCAUACUUCCCAAAUUGUACAGAAUGUAGAAGAAAAACAAAGUGAUCCGUGCGAUCAGAAAACUGAUACAAACACAUGGAGAGGUCACCACAGAGAAUAAGAGAAACUACCUAAUUGGUCAGAGAAUAAUUUAGACUCAGAUUCAGUUUUACGGCUCACAUACAUAUUUCUUGUAGGCAUAUGGACUAUAUAUCCUACGAAGUUCACAAAAAUAUUGGUUUAUCUUGAAGUUACACUCAUAGUUACAACUUUUCAAAACAACAAGUUCACAAAACUGUUGCUUAUUAUGAGGUUACAGGUUCUAUACCAAAUGGUUGAUUCCGAUUAAUAUCACACUAAUCCGUAUAUCCUGAAGUUACACUAAUCAAUCUUAAGAGUACCAUAUGCUCAGUUGAUAUUCAGAUAAUCUACAUAUAUUUUCAUUUGCUAGCUUGACUAUACUGGUGCAUAUCUAAGCCAAGUGAAUCGGAAGUAUAAAACUGUGUGUGCGCUUCCAACUUCAGUCACUCCACCAUGAAGUUGAGGCCCUUAUUCUUGGCUAGAUGUAGAAACUGAAGCUGGCCUUUUGAGAAAGGCUUUAUUCAGUUAUACGAUCCAGGGAUUCAGGUACAUAUAAAGGGAAAACCUGAAGUUAUAACAUUUAGUAGGGGUCAGGUAUGGUGCAAGUGCUUAGGUAAUUUGUAAUCUUCUUUUACUACAUGGACAGUAUUUCGAUCUUUGUUACAUCUCUGUGCACCAUAUGUUGGCUCUUCAUCUUGAAGCUCUAUGGUUGUCUGAUGAAUAUUUGUAAGUUGCAUCCUCUGUAGAUGGGUAGUUAGUAAGACCAAACUGUUAGCAAGUGUGAUUUAAACAUUCUUUAUAUGAUCACAUAAAAAAGGAAAUUUAAAUGGGUAGUUAGUUCACUUUUAAGAUCCAGCUUUUAAUAAGAUAUUUUUUGUUUUGUAGUGUGCAUGUUUGGAUUAAGAUCUUGAUUAAUUCUCCGGCUUGAAAACUAUAGGAGGUUGGUUCAAGCGUCAAUGCCUACCCUUUGACCCCGCCGCCGCCCCUCAAUCAGCGAGUGGCAAGCUUGAGCUCCCGACGUCUGGUCGGCUCUAGGGACCUGCAGCAUCAGGGAGCUUUCCCGCCACGAACUGCCUGCGGAUCAGGCAUCCCUCCUAAGGUUUUUUGCAACUGGACAAUGCAUCAUUAUAUUUGUUCUCAACCCAGUUAGCUGAUUCAUGUGUUGUCUAAUGUCCAAGCCCACGUCAGCAUGGCACCAAAGGUUCAAUUUUGUAACACCUUAGAGUUGUGGUAGUUUUGCUAUGGGCUAUAGCACUUGAGCACUGCUCCUAUGAAGUUUUUGCGCAGUAAUACAAUAUGGACUGUAUGUAAUUUUGUUCAAUGAUGUACCGUAAUUUCUUUGAA